GGGGAUAUAGCUCAAAUGGCAGAGUGCUUGCCUCACAUGCAUAAGGCCCUGGGUUCAAUCCCCAGCACCACCA
rnacentral:tRNA from 1 species